rnacentral:lncRNA from 1 species
GAUUUUUCCAAGCCAAAGGAAAAUGUAGACCUCAGGUUAAAUGACAUCAUCCUGAUACAUUCAUCCCAUCAUGUUCCAGUUUUCCUGAAGAGGUGUUGGGAAAUCCUUAGUAGCUUCUCUUACUACAUCAUAUCCAGUCUUAGAGAUGAAGUUAUUUCUUAUCCUGUACUGGUCAGCAAUCCAUUGUUGUGUGGCUUGAAUAUUGACAACAAGCAGAGGAAGCCCUUGCUUAUAAGAUCUGAAUUAAUGUAUAUUCUUGGUUUACUCACUUUUAUGGUCAUCUAUAUCAGUGGGUGUGAGGAGGGGAAGCAAUCCACAUCUAGACUGCCUGCACGGUUACCCCAAAGUCCUUAAAUGGAAAUUCUAAUGAAGCCUUCAAACUCAAAUCAGGGAGAGGGUCCCUAAGGAAGCGAGAAUAAUUCUGAAACGUGAAUUCCAGCACUGAAAUUAUAUGUUGUGUUGAGGAAAUUCUGGAGCAUGACUGAGGAAUAUAGAAGAUCUCAAACUGGUGAGAAAUGGCAAAAGAGUUGGCCUAGAUAAGGAGAAGGAAGUUAAUUAAACUAUUUGAAAUAAUUAAUAAUUUAUAGUUCCUUAAGGUUUUUUUUGUUUGUUUUGUUUUUACUUUUCUUGAAAUGAUUUUAUAAAAUGAUGAAACUGGUACCCUAUAUGGUUAAAUAAAUUUCCUAUGGUAAAAUUGUUAAUAAGUGUC